rnacentral:tRNA from 1 species
CGGGUGGUAGCGCAGCCCGGUAGCGCACACGUCUGGGGGGCGUGGGGUCGCAAGUUCGAAUCUUGUUCACCCGA